UUUUUUUUUUUUUUUUUAAGAUUUCCUGCCUUACAAUAGUCUUGAUUUAAAACAGCGUUCUUGCUCAUUCGAUAUUGUCAAGCAUUGAAUGUGUAAUUUGGAAAUAAGAAAAAUAAUUCAGGAGUUAGUGUCUACAACUCAGGUCUGUGCAUCUGCCCUGGUUGGUGCAGUUCUGUCCUUCCAGUUCAUUGACUUUUUACUACAGAGACAGAACAAAUGCCCCAUUGUCUAAAAGGUGAAUAAUAUUUGUUUUCAGCCAUCAUGAUGAUAUUUUUGCAGACAUUCAUACAGAUGCACAUAACUUAAACUUUUCUUCCUAUUAAUCUCUUCCCAGUGUCUCUGGCAACUUUUUUGCUUCUCUUUCAGUGCUCUGAAUUAACAUCAAAAUUUCUGACUUCCAGGUGUCAUCCCACUCCUUAUUGUUGGCAAUAAAGGCUUAUGUUUGAAAAUGCUCCUUACAAAAGAUCAACAUGAAGAUUUUCAGACAGAUUAAAAGAGAUUCCCUCGAGUAACAUGCCACGCAUAACGGCACAUUCAACAGAUCAGUGGAUGCCCUUGAUACCACAAAUGAAGAAACAUUCACUUUGCUGUACAUGCUCAGGUAUUUGCAGAAUUGAAUUCAGCCCAGUUCAUCUUCAUCUGUGAACUGCAUUUCUGUCUAUAUUGUGUACAAGGUGGGUCAUGCAAGAGUAGCAACAGUGAGCCUCUGGCACUGGUGAGGCGACUCAACCAGCACUUGUGAGUUACACUACUUUUUAAAGUCUUGUUUUGGUUUGUCUUACUUUGGUUUAAAAUAAGCUUUUUUCUGAAAGGAAUGGGUGAAUAUGAAAUAGAGUAUAAUAAGUAUUUGGCCUCUUUGGCCAGAGUCAACUGUCAUUUUUGUUACUUCUGGCCAGCACAAAAAAAAAAAAAAAAAA